rnacentral:pre_miRNA from 1 species
AAAGUACUCCCUCCAUCCCAAAAUUCUUGUCUUAGAUUUGUCUAGAUACGGAUGUAUCAAGUCACAUUUUAGUAUUAGAUACAUCCGUAUCUAGACAAACCUAAGACAAGAAAUUUGGGACAGAGGGAGUAGUUG